rnacentral:rRNA from 1 species
AUUGAACGCUGGCGGCAUGCCUUACACAUGCAAGUCGAACGGCAGCACGGGAGCAAUCCUGGUGGCGAGUGGCGAACGGGUGAGUAAUGUAUCGGAACGUGCCUAGUUGUGGGGGAUCACGUAGCGAAAGCUACGCUAAUACCGCAUAAGAUCUAAGGAUGAAAGCGGGGGAUCGCAAGACCUCGCGCAGUUAGAGCGGCCGAUAUCAGAUUAGGUUGUUGGUGGGGUAAAGGCCUACCAAGCCUGCGAUCUGUAGCUGGUCUGAGAGGACGACCAGUCACACUGGGGCUGAGACACGGCCCAGACUCCUACGGGAGGCAGCAGUGGGGAAUUUUGGACAAUGGGCGCAAGCCUGAUCCAGCAAUGCCGCGUGCAGGAUGAAGGCCUUCGGGUUGUAAACUGCUUUUGUACGGAGCGAAACGGUUAUCCCUAAUACGGAUGGCUAAUGACGGUACCGUAAGAAUAAGCACCGGCUAACUACGUGCCAGCCGCCGCAGUAA